UUUUCUUUCAAGUAAUGAAUCUCAGCUUGAUAUGUUUUUCCUUUUCUCCCCAUACUAAUGUUUCUUGGAUUUUGUCUUCGAAGGCUUAAACAUGAGGUUUUUUGGUGAGUCUUUUGGGUUCGGGUUUCAGCUCAGCAUUCACACAAGACCUCUUCUCAAACCAAGCAUUAUAGUGUGGAUCCACCUCUCCUUUUGCGACAUCUGGUAUCUGGGUGCCAUUUUUUAGAUACUGGCAACUAAUUCCAAUCCUGUCGAACUAAAGCUUCGGGCAAUGCGGCUUCCAGAUGCAACUCUAUAACUUGAGUACUUAAAUCUUCAUCUUUG
rnacentral:lncRNA from 1 species